rnacentral:tRNA from 1 species
GUCGAGAUAGCUUAAUUGGUAGAGCGAAGGUAAUCCUAGGCCUUAUGUGUCGGUUCGAAUCCGACAAUCGACUCCA